rnacentral:rRNA from 1 species
UACGAAGGGGGCUAGCGUUGCUCGGAUUGACUGGGCGUAAAGGGCGCGUAGGCGGAUAGUACAGUCAGGCGUGAAAUUCCUGGGCUCAACCUGGGGGCUGCGUUUGAUACGUAUUGUCUGGAGUUCGGAAGAGGGUCGUGGAAUUCCCAGUGUAGAGGUGAAAUUCGUAGAUAUCAGGAAGAACACCGGUGGCGAAGGCGGCAUCCUGGACCGAUAUUGACGCUGAUGCGCGAAAGCCAGGGGAGCAAACGGG